rnacentral:rRNA from 1 species
GACGAACCGUGCGAACGUUAUUCGGAAUCACUGGGCUUAAAGGGCGCGUAGGCGGGUUGCCAAGUCUGUGGUGAAAUCCUCCGGCUCAACCGGAGAACGGCCGUGGAUACUGGCGACCUCGAGGGGGGUAGGGGCUUGCGGAACUGUGCGUGGAGCGGUGAAAUGCGUUGAUAUCGGGAGGAAUACCAGUGGCGAAGGCAGCUCUCUGGGACGGUACUGACGCUGAGACGCGAAAGCGUGGGGAGCGAACAGG